ACUCAAAUGAAUUGACGGGGGCUCACACAAGCGGUGGAGGAUGUGGUUUAAUUCGAAGCAACGCGCAGAACCUUACCAGGUCUUGACAUACCGGGAUUAACCGUGUGAAAGCAUGGGGAUUCUCAGCAAUGAGGUAACCGGAACAGGUGCUGCAUGGCUGUCGUCAGCUCGUGCCGCGAGGUGUUAGGUUAAGUCCUUUAACGAGCGAAACCCCUACGGCUAGUUACCAGCGCGUCAUGGCGGGGACUCUAGUCGGACUGCCGCGCAAGCAGGAGGAAGGUGGGGACGACGUCAAGUCAUCAUGGCCUUUAUGACCUGGGCCACACACGUCCUACAAUGGGUUCUACAAAGGGACGCAGAACCGUAAGGCGAAGCCAAUCCCCGAAAGGAACCCUCAGUUCAGAUUGUGGGCUGCAAUUCGCCCACAUGAAGCUGGAAUCGCUAGUAAUCGCGGAUCAGCCACGCCGCGGUGAAUUUGUUCCUGAGCCUUGUACACACCGCCCGU
rnacentral:rRNA from 1 species